AUCCAGUUGAUGAGUCUGAAAUAGGACGAAAUGAGCAUCUAGGAU
rnacentral:hammerhead_ribozyme from 1 species